UACGAACCGUCCAAACGUUACUCGGAAUCACUGGGCUUAAAGGGUGCGUAGGCCGCUCGGAGGGUGGGAUGUGAAAUCCCCCGGCUCAACCGGGGAAUAGCGUCCCAAACCGCCGGGCUUGAGGGAGACAGAGGUGAGCGGAACUGAUGGUGGAGCGGUGAAAUGCGUUGAUAUCAUCAGGAACACCAGUGGCGAAAGCGGCUCACUGGGUCUUUCCUAACGCUGAGGGACGAAAGCUAGGGGAGCGAACGGG
rnacentral:rRNA from 1 species